AAUACCUCCAUUAUUCACCUCACCUCAUCUCAUCACAUAGGCCUUUUAUCAUCUCACAUCAUCAUAAGAAGAAGGAUAUCAACAACUGAGCUAUUUCUCCUUCUCUGACUCAGAAGAAAGACAGAAAACUGUGAAAUAGCACGAGGAAACAACUUCUUGCGGAAGCACUUUGAUACCAUAAGGGAAUACUUUGCAAGGCCUGCAGUGGAUGCCUGAAACCGUGGAUAGUACUGAACACGAUACUAUGUUUUAUUCCUCUGCAUACAUCCCCAUGAUAAAGUUUAACUUAUAAACUAGGCACAGUAACAGAUUAAUAAUAAUAAUAAAAUAGAACAAUUGUAGCAAAAUA